GGGUUCGGUGUAGGGGCUUCUCUCAAAGAUGUUCGGGCAUUCUUUCUUUUAAGCCUCUGCUUCGUCUUCUUUCUCUUGAGUGGCCUCUGCCUCUCACAGUGCUGUUGUUGCAUUUGUAAAACAGUUUCAUUGAGGGAAGAUGAAAUGGGAUGGUCCAAGUUUGGACCAUGCAGUGUCCACUUCUGAGUAGCAAGCGGCCUAGACCUAUGGGAGGAAGGUCCAGCCAUCCUGGAUUGAAAGAAGCCCUAUAUCUGUUCUCAGUGAGGACUGAAAGAGGCCAGCGCAGCACAGAAUGUGAUAUCACCAUUCUGGACCAUGAGAUGCAAAGCCAUGCAGAAAACAAGAUGGAAGAGACCUGAGUCCCUGUCGCUGGGUGGUACCACACCUGUCCGGACAUCUAGACGAUAGAAAUCAACAUCUACCUAUUCAAGCUACUGUAAUUUUGGAUUUUCUCUUAUCCUUGUACCUGCAGCUAAUACUAUAGUGUCAGAAAGUACCCAGUUGAGUUAGUUACUCAACUGGUAAAAAGUUAAUCAAUUGCAUGUCAGUUGGUAACUAACACAGACUCUGUCCUUACUUUUUUUUUUCCCCCACAAAUACCUUCUUCCUGCUUUCCUUCAUCUUGCCCAUCUUAUUCUCAUCUAGCCCAGGGAAAUAGGAAGCUACUUUUCAGAAAACUCUGGCUAAGUAACCUAAACAAGUUGUUUCACUAGCUGGGUUCUGGAUAUGAGAUGAAGGUUAAAAAUAGCUUCCGUGUGGCAGGUAGCCUCUGAGACCACCCAAUGGCUCCACGUCCUGCUAUCCAUACCCUUUUGGAAUGCCCUCCUCCUGAGUGUGAACUGGACUUACUGACUGCUUCUAUUGAGCAGAUUGCGGCGAAGUGUUACCUCUAAGAUUACAUUAUCAAAGUCUCUGUACACUCUCUUGGAUCAGCUGUCCAGUGGAAGUGGCUGCCGGAUUGUGAGGCCGCCCUGGGAGAGGCCAUGUGAGGGAACCCGCUGUGCCUGACAACUGCCACAUGAAUGCAUUUGGAAGUGCGGCAGACAACCCUGUUGGACAGCUUGACUGCGACCUUAGGGCACCCGGUGGCCCAGAAGCACUCGGCUGAGUCACAUCUGGAUGCGGAGAGAUGCGAGUAUGUGUUGUAUCAAGCCUCCAAGUUCAGGAUAAUUAUUGAUGUGGUAAGAGGCAGCAACCACACCUAGAAGCUAGCCAUGAAAAAGACACAGUGUGCUUAAUGCUUGACACCCAGUAGGUGUUUGCUGGAUGAAUCAAUCAAUACAUGACUGUAGCGUCCAUUGCAGCAUCCUACAAUGUAGAAGAUUCCCUGAAUCCACGUGUUCAGUGCCUGCUAUCUACUCCUGCCAAAAAAAGUCACUGAAAGUUAUUUUAAGCAGGAAAAAUCUGGGUCAGAUUUGUUUUUCUGUUAUAGGAAAUGGUUUCUGUUCCAUGGGCAUGGCUGGUUUAGCCAUGAUCUGGAUGAAGAGAGAUUACAAAAAAAUAAUCUUUGCCAGCUCAGAGAGCACUUGGAAACACUGGUCUUGUAGCAAGCAGAUCUUUGAAGAUGUGACU